rnacentral:rRNA from 1 species
ACGGGUGAGUAACGCGUGGGAAUCUACCUAGUUCUACGGAACAACAGUUGGAAACGACUGCUAAUACCGUAUACGCCCUACGGGGGAAAGAUUUAUCGGAAUUAGAUGAGCCCGCGUAAGAUUAGCUAGUUGGUGAGGUAAUGGCUCACCAAGGCGACGAUCUUUAGCUGGUCUGAGAGGAUGAUCAGCCACACUGGGACUGAGACACGGCCCAGACUCCUACGGGAGGCAGCAGUGGGGAAUAUUGGACAAUGGGCGCAAGCCUGAUCCAGCCAUGCCGCGUGAGUGAUGAAGGCCUUAGGGUUGUAAAGCUCUUUCACCGAUGAAGAUAAUGACGGUAGUCGGAGAAGAAGCCCCGGCUAACUUCGUGCCAGCAGCCGCGGUAAUACGAAGGGGGCUAGCGUUGUUCGGAUUUACUGGGCGUAAAGCGCACGUAGGCGGUUUGUUAAGUCAGAGGUGAAAUCCCGGAGCUCAACUCCGGAACUGCCUUUGAUACUGGCAAGCUAGAGUCCGGAACAGGUAAAUGGAACUCCUGCUGUAGAGGUGGAAUUCGUACA